rnacentral:rRNA from 1 species
GACGAACCGUCCAAACGUUAUUCGGAAUUACUGGGCUUAAAGGGUGCGUAGGCGGCUCUGCAAGUUGGGUGUGAAAUCCCUCGGCUCAACCGAGGAAUGGCGCCCAAAACUGUGGAGCUCGAGGGAGACAGAGGUGAGUGGAACUUGUGGUGGAGCGGUGAAAUGCGUUGAUAUCACAAGGAACACCGGUGGCGAAAGCGGCUCACUGGGUCUCUUCUGACGCUGAGGCACGAAAGCUGGGGGAGCGAACGGGAUUAGAUACCCUGGUAGUCCCUGA